AACAAGGACACCAGUUAGGCCACUCAGAGUAACUAUCAGUAACUAACUGGUUACUCUGAGUAACCUAACUGGUAUCCUUGU
ensembl:miRNA